CAGGUUCAAGGAUGAAAGACGGUUUCGGCUGUCACUUACAGAUGGACCCGCGGCGCAUUAGCUAGUUGGUGGGGUAAUG
rnacentral:rRNA from 1 species